CGCAAUUCUAGGGCAAGGAGAGGACCUUCCAUUUUGGGAGAAAAAGGCGGCGGUUGGGAAAGCAUCUUUGGAGAAGAGAAAAACAGAGUAGAGAGGAUUUGAACGAAGAGCAUUUUUAGAGAGCAGGGCCUUGAGGAGGAGGAACAGCUGGAAACGGAUUGGAGAGGAGCAGAGCAGAGGAGCCUUAGCUUCUAGAGAGGGCUUUUGGGUCCUCCAGGUAUGGUCACUGUGGGUUUCACCUUUAUUUAUUCAUGCUGUUCUCUUCUUUUCUUCAGAGAGCUCAAAAAUCACUUUGCUAUUUAGAUGUGAGUAUCAGAGAAAGCAUCUGAACCUGAUUGAUUUUCUUUAUGGUUGUUCACGAGCUUGGUGUGGCUUAUUUAUCCCUUUCUCCUUUGGUCUAGCUUGAAAAUAAUCUGAUUAUCUUUUUCUUUUUAACUACAUUGAGCCUUGGAAGAUUACAUCUCUGUUUUUCAUUCAUAAAUCUGGGUUUAGCUUCUUCCCUCUCUAUUCAUAAGCACAGGAAUGACUCAUGACAGAUACUUGGUUAAGAAGACUUCUUUGUUUGUGAGUCUGUUUUGCUAAUCGUGCUUUUGAUAUUUUCUCUAUACUAUUGGAGUUUGGUUUGGGUUCAUUUUGACUCCCCAAGAGGAAUUCUACUGGUGCCCUCCCUGUGUUAUGGGGUGAGUAAUGAUAUUCCUAAGGAUUUUAAGAGAGAAAGAACAGGGGAAGGAAUGUCUCAUCAACCUUGCUGAUUUCCCGGACCUGUGAACUUCUCAUUUGAGACUGCCAUUGCUUUCUGUAUUAUUAACGGCAUCCCUGCCAUGGUGGAAAUCUCGUCUUCAUCCUAUACAAGAUGUAUCUUCCGUGUAGUCACCAUCUUUGGAACCCGUUGCUGAAGCUUUCACUAAGUCAAAUUGUGCUCGGUUUCACUUGUUGCUACUGACUUUGCAUGGAACAAUAUAUGGCCAAGAAAGCUCUUAGGAUUUCCACAGCAGAAACAAGGCCAAAGUGGGGUAACCUUAUUUGAGAAGUGUAUUCAGUAGAGAGAGAGAGGUGGCUUUGUCAGAGAGAGAAAUUUAGAAGAAAAUUUGAGGAAUACCCGGAAUCGCGGACUGAGUUGGAGACAAAAACGCGGGUGGCGAAAUUCAACUAGUUAAAAAAAUCUGAAACAUGAGCUCCAAGUCACACAGGAAACUGUGAAGGCACCAGCGAAUGAGGUUUCAAAUCUGGAAAUUAUCUAAGAUUUUUCUUGAUGGUGAGAUUCAAUGGAUUUUUUUCUGGGUUGCAAAAGAAGCCAGUGCAUGGUGAGGUUAACAGUUCGUCCCAAUAGUUCGUUUUCUUCUUCAAGGAUGGGAACUCCAAGGACUGACCACUCGGUGGGGUUAGAAGAUGUAUUUUGGCGGAUGUGGAUAUCAUGAACUAUCAAUUUGUCAAAAUAAAUUUGGUGGUUCCCAUGGUUAUUCGAAUGUCAAAGAAUUGCAAAUCAAGAAGACUUUCCAAGUUGGAAUUUACUG
rnacentral:lncRNA from 1 species